GAUGAACGCUGGCGGCGUGCCUAACACAUGCAAGUCGAGCGGACAGACGGAGCUUUUGCCUGGCUUCAGCUGGGGGCGGGUGAGUGAGUCACAGGAGUAUGCCUGGCAUUGGGGGAUAACAUCAGGAAACGAGCGCGGAUACCACAUACGAUCAGAUGUUGAAACUGGGGGAUCUUUGGACCUAGCCCUAUCUGAUGACCCUAGGUCGGAUUAGCUAGUUGGUUGGGUAAGGGCCUACCAAGGCGGCGAUCCGUAGCCGGUCUGAGAGGAUGAUCGGCCACACUGGAACUGAGACACGGUCCAGACUCCUACGGGAGGCAGCAGUGGGGAAUAUUGGGCAAUGGGCGAAAGCCUGACGCAGCAACGCCGCGUGUGUGAAGAAGGUCUUCGGAUCGUAAAGCACUGUUAGUUGGGAGGAACAGAUGUGAGAUAAUAUCUGGACGUCUUGACGGUACCUACUCAAUAAGCACCGGCUAACUACGUG
rnacentral:rRNA from 1 species